rnacentral:sRNA from 12 species
ACUGUGGAGUAUUAUAUCAAAUCAAAGUAGUUCUAUAGAACAAAAUGAGAUACGAAGAAACAGUAA